GUUCAGCUAGAUCUCGCAGCUUUCAAGCCAAAAAUGCCAUUGGUUGGGCUUGACCUCUCCGAACAACUUUGGCAGGGCUUGGUGCUCAAAGAAAAAGACUUUCGCGCCUGGAUCAAAGCACACAACUGGAGUGCCUAUCAAGGAAAAGCCGUCUAUAUUUACUGCAGCACUGACGCGAUUAUUCCGACUUGGGCUUUUAUGCUCGUGAGUUCGGCUUUACAAAAAGAAAAUGUGUAUAAGAAUAAGCACCGGCUAACUACGUGCCAGCAGCCGCGGUAAUACAGAGGGUGCGAGCGUUAAUCGGAUUUACUGGGCGUAAAGCGUGCGUAGGCGGCUUUUUAAGUCGGAUGUGAAAUCCCCGAGCUUAACUUGGGAAUUGCAUUCGAUACUGGGAAGCUAGAGUAUGGGAGAGGAUGGUAGAAUUCCAGGUGUAGCGGUGAAAUGCGUAGAGAUCUGGAGGAAUACCGAUGGCGAAGGCAGCCAUCUGGCCUAAUACUGACGCUGAGGUACGAAAGCAUGGGGAGCAAACAGGAUUAGAUACCCUGGUAGUCCAUGCCGUAAACGAUGUCUACUAGCCGUUGGGGCCUUUGAGGCUUUAGUGGCGCAGCUAACGCGAUAAGUAGACCGCCUGGGGAGUACGGUCGCAAGACUAAAACUCAAAUGAAUUGACGGGGGCCCGCACAAGCGGUGGAGCAUGUGGUUUAAUUCGAUGCAACGCGAAGAACCUUACCUGGCCUUGACAUAGUAGAGACUUUCCAGAGAUGGAUUGGUGCCUUCGGGAAUCUACAUACAGGUGCUGCAUGGCUGUCGUCAGCUCGUGUCGUGAGAUGUUGGGUUAAGUCCCGCAACGAGCGCAACCCUUUUCCUUACUUGCCAGCAUUUCGGAUGGGAACUUUAAGGAUACUGCCAGUGACAAACUGGAGGAAGGCGGGGACGACGUCAAGUCAUCAUGGCCCUUACGGCCAGGGCUACACACGUGCUACAAUGGUCGGUACAAAGGGUUGCUACACAGCGAUGUGAUGCUAAUCUCAAAAAGCCGAUCGUAGUCCGGAUUGGAGUCUGCAACUCGACUCCAUGAAGUCGGAAUCGCUAGUAAUCGCGGAUCAGAAUGCCGCGGUGAAUACGUUCCCGGGCCUUGUACACACCGCCCGUCACACCAUGGGAGUUUGUUGCACCAGAAGUAGGUAGUCUAACCGCAAGGAGGACGCUUACCACGGUGUAGCCGAUGACUGGGGUGAAGUCGUAACAAGGCAGCCGUUA
rnacentral:rRNA from 1 species